AACGUAGGAGGCGAGCGUUAUCCGGAUUUACUGGGUGUAAAGCGCGUGCAGGCGGAUGGGUAAGUUGGGUGUGAAAGCUCCCGGCUCAACUGGGAGAGGUCGCUCAAGACUGCCCGUCUGGAGGACGAUAGAGGAAGGCGGAAUUCCGGGUGUAGUGGUGAAAUGCGUAGAUAUCCGGAGGAACACCAGUGGCGAAAGCGGCCUUCUGGAUCGUAACUGACGCUCAGACGCGAAAGCUAGGGUAG
rnacentral:rRNA from 1 species